rnacentral:rRNA from 1 species
CAUGCAAGUCGAGCGAACUUGAUGGAGUGCUUGCACUCCUGAGGGUUAGCGGCGGACGGGUGAGUAAUACGUAGGUAACCUGCCUGUAAGACUGGGAUAACCCACGGAAACGUGAGCUAAUACCGGAUAGGCGAGACUCCCGCAUGGGGGAUUCGAGAAAGGCGGAGCAAUCUGCCACUUACAGAUGGACCUACGGCGCAUUAGCUAGUUGGUGAGGUAACGGCUCACCAAGGCGACGAUGCGUAGCCGACCUGAGAGGGUGAUCGGCCACACUGGGACUGAGACACGGCCCAGACUCCUACGGGAGGCAGCAGUAGGGAAUCUUCCGCAAUGGACGCAAGUCUGACGGAGCAACGCCGCGUGAGUGAUGAAGGCCUUCGGGUCGUAAAGCUCUGUUGCCAGGGAAGAACGGCUUGGAGAGUAACUGCUCCAAGAGUGACGGUACCUGAGAAGAAAGCCCCGGCUAACUACCGUGCCAGCAAGCCGCGGUAAUACGUAGGGGGCAAGCGUUGUCCGGAAUUAUUGGGCGUAAAGCGCGCGCAAGCGGUAAUGUAAGUUGGGUGUUUAAACCUAAGGGCUCAACCUUUGGGUCGGACCC